rnacentral:misc_RNA from 1 species
GAUGAAGAACGUAGCGAAAUGCGAUACGUAAUGUGAAUUGCAGAAUUCAGUGAAUCAUCGAAUCUUUGAACGCAUAUUGCGCUCUCUGGUAUUCCGGAGAGCAUGUUUGUUUGAGUAUCAGUAAACACCUCAACUCCCUUUUCUUUUUUGAAAUUGGAGCUGGACUUGAGUGAUCCCAACGCUUUCUUCCAAGAAAGUGGCGGGUUGCUUGAAAUGCAGGUGCAGCUGAACUUUUCUCUGAGCUAUAAGCAUAUCUAUUUAGUCUGCCUAAAAAACAGAUUAUUACCUUUGCUGCAGCUAACAUAAAGGAGACUAGUUCUUGUGCUGACUGAUGCAGGAUUCACAGAGACAGCUUCGGCUGACUUUGUAAACUCGAUCUCAAAUCAAGUAAGACUACCCGCUGAACUUAAGCAUAUCAAUAAGCGGAGGA